CCGGUGUCAGGGAGCUCCACCUCCCCGGAGGUGCCACCUCCCUCAGGGACAGUAUAAAGGACGAGCUGUCCCCUGUGCUGUGGCCAGUCCCAGCCCGGAGAGACUCGGAGCAAGGACCCUGCAGGAUGCUGUGCUGAUUCCUGAAGGCAGCGAGGCCCCGAAUCUGCCCCAAAGAGGGGCUCGGCCACGAGGAGAUCCUCCAACACCCCCAUCCUGAGCCCCUGGAGCCCCACGAGCCACCCCCAGUGCCCAGGACGAGGCCACCACAGUGCACGA
rnacentral:lncRNA from 1 species